CCUACGGGUGGCAGCAGUGAGGAAUAUUGGUCAAUGGCCGGAAGGCUGAACCAGCCAUGCCGCGUGAAGGGCAGGGGCCUAUGGGCGUUAAACUUCUUUUGUGCGGGAGCAAGAAUGGGCACGUGUGGCCAGACGAGAGUACCGUACGAAUAAGCAGCGGCUAACUCCGGGCCAGCAGCCGCGGGAAUACGGGGGAUGCAAGCGUUAUCCGGAGUUCUUGGGUGUAAAGGGGGCGUAGGCUGUGAGGUAAGUCAGCGGGGAAAUGCCCCCGCUCAACGGGGUGAAGGGCCAUUGAUACUGCCUUGCUGGACUGCGGAUGCCGUGGGAGGAAUGUGUGGUGUAGCG
rnacentral:rRNA from 1 species